GCCCUGACGAAUUGAGGCUGUUCUGAGGGCAAAAGGGGGUGCAACUCAAUAUUAGAAAGGCUGUCGUGUAUGUGAAGACCAGAAGAGGCUGGUGGGAAGAGCAAUGGGAGGAUGGGCUCAUUGUGAUGGCUGGAAUGGGACCAAUGGAAUGAUACCAAACACAUGGAAACAAUGUGUUUGACUCCGUUCCAGCGAUUCUUUUCACACACAAGAUCAGACACUCAUCUCAGGAGUGAAAAAUGAAUUAGAUUGACCCAACUAGCUCCUAAAAUGGGCCUUUUAAGUCUCCCUCCAUGGAUAGAAUUGCGAUUAAACUGCAUAGACAUGGCACGUCAAAUUUACACGUUUUCUUUCAAUGCCCAUAAGCUAAAGAGCUGGUCACCCCAGAGAGACUAUGCCAACAAAGCCUACAAUGUAGUGCUACUUGUGUAACGUGUGUCAUGGAAUGGAAAGAGAGUAUUUCUCAGUGAGUGGCACAGAGAACUUUCACCAAAAACCUGGUCACCCACCAUGUCUGCCAAAUAGUGCUUUAAAAUCAUUGACUUUUGUUGGAGGGGUAUUACAUAUUAUUAUUAUUGAUUGUAUGUUAUUAUUACACAGUGAUUGUAUAGGUCAU